GGAGUUAGGAAAUGUAGAUACGCUAAUAUCGUAUAUAUUUGACAAAGGCUCCAAAGGAAGCCACGGCUAACUCUGUGCCAGCAGCCGCGGUAAUACAGAGGUGGCAAGCGUUGUUCGGAGUUAUUGGGCGUAAAGAGCACGUAGGUGGAUUUGUAAGUCAGAUGUGAAAGCCUUCUGUUCAACGGAAGAAUUGCAUCUGAAACUACAAACCUUGAGUAUAG
rnacentral:rRNA from 1 species